rnacentral:rRNA from 1 species
UACGGGGGGGCAAGCGUUAUUCAGUAUAACUAGGCGUAAAGGGCGCGUAGGCGGCUGGGGAAGUCGGCGGUGAAAGCCCGGAGCUCAACUCCGGGUCGGCCGUCGAGACUCCUCGGCUCGAGCUCACUAGAGGCAGAUGGAAUUCCGGGUGUAGCGGUGGAAUGCGUAGAGAUCCGGAAGAACACCGGUGGCGAAGGCGGGUCUCUGGGCCGUAACUG